UACGUAGGGUGCGAGCGUUGUCCGGAAUUAUUGGGCGUAAAGAGCUCGUAGGCGGUGUGUCACGUCGGCCGUGAAAACCUGCAGCUUAACUGUGGGCGUGCGGUCGAUACGGGCAUCACUGGAGUUCGGCAGGGGAGACUGGAAUUCCUGGUGUAGCAGUGAAAUGCGUAGAUAUCAGGAGGAAUACCGAUGGCGAAGGCAGGUCUCUGGGCUGACACUGACGCUCAUGCACGAAAGCGUGGGGAGCAAACAGG
rnacentral:rRNA from 1 species